rnacentral:rRNA from 1 species
UACGUAGGGAGCAAGCGUUAUCCGGAUUUAUUGGGUGUAAAGGGUGCGUAGAUGGAUAAGCAAGUUAGUUGUGAAAUCCCUCGGCUUAACUGAGGAAUUGCAACUAAAACUGUUAAUCUUGAGUACUGGAGGGGAAAGUGGAAUUCCUAGUGUAGCGGUGAAAUGCGUAGAUAUUAGGAAGAACACCGGUGGCGAAGGCGACUUUCUGGACAGUAACUGACAUUGAGGCACGAAAGUGUGGGGAGCAAACAGG